GAACCAAUGGUGUGUUCUAGUUCAGUGGCCACAGCGUGGAAGAGACAUGACUGCAAGAGAGAGCAGGGGAAAGUCCCGAACUCCAAGGAACAUUCUGUUUAAAAACAACAAUCCUGAUUCCCCCAGGUGAUGUCAAGAGAAACCUUCAGAAAAAUGAUAGAGGGAGUCCAGAAGGCCACGACUUCUGCUUGGGGGUUGUUACUGAGGUCGUCAUCUUACCUGCUCUUCUUGUUGAGAUGUGCCCUGUUCUGAGGGAAUGGCCUGAUCCUGAUUUGGCUACAUAGACUUGGCUUCUCAGAGGUGCUGGGCGUCCACACGGUGCAGCCUGGUGCCAGCACACGAGAACUUUGCAGGAGCCCUGGGAUGGGCAUCUCCCUCUGUCUACACGGCCGGUCUGAGCUCCGGGCUGGGAUCUAACUACUUUCCUGCCACUGGGUGGCAAACAGGAGCACAAGUGGCUGAGGCCUGUGCAGUGAAAGCAUGACAGACGUGGCUUCGAGCAGUCGCACAUGGAGAGCCCGAGGCUGCUCUGUCAUUCCUGUGUCCUCCUUGGUUCUGGCAGCGACGGACUGGUGUGUGCCAAAACAAGACAGAGUGCACAGGCCGAGAGAAGAGAACGGAGAGCCGGGCAAUUUUAUCAAGGAUGUGGAUCCAGUCCAGGAGCGAGACAGCCUCAGCCACUCAUGGCGAAGCCUCUCGACAGUGCACUCGUGAAGAGGGAUCAGAGGCCCCCAGAGCAAGCACUGAGGGACACGGGGGCCACAGCACCCUCCCGUCAGGCUGCCCGAGCUUUGGGGCUUGAGUUGGAUAAAAUGGAUCCUCCUGCUUUUCCCUUCUUCUUCUCUCCUUCCAGAUGUCAGCUUCCCCCCUUCUGGCCAACCGCCCCAAUUCUUGCCUGUACCCAUGCUGACUCAGCCCAGCCUGCCUGGUUUUAGUCACCUGCCUCCCAUUGUGCUACUUUUAUCUGAACUGAUUUAUUUAUUUAUUUAUUUAUUUAUGUUUAAGAUUGGCACCUGGGCUAACAACUGUUGCCAAUCUUUUUUUUUUUUCUGCUUUAUCUCCCCAAACCCCCCCGUACACAGUUGUAUAUCUUAGUUGCAGGUGCUUCUAGUUGUGAGAUGUGGGACGCCCCCUCAAUGUGGCCUGACGAGCGGUGCCAUGUCCGCGCCCAGGAUCCGAACCCUGGGCCGCCGCAGUGGAGCACGCGAACUUAACCACUUGGCCACGGAGCCGGCCCCUCAACUGAUUUAUUUGGCACGAUGUGCACUUACUAACUGAUUCUAGUCUCUUGACUUCACAUACUUUACUAUUGGAACAAUCUCCAUUUGGGUCUUUUUGCCUUCUGGUUUUCAAUUCCGGGCAAUCCCCACGCUGUCUGGAACCCGCUAUUCCUCAGGAGCGUCUGUCUCCCGGAGCCCGCUGACCUCCUGGGUGAGACGCCAAGCUGACCCAAUGCCGCCAUCAGCCCCACAAGUCAUUCUGGUUCUAGGCAUACCGGCAGCUAAUUUAAAUUAUCCCCUUGUGGAUGUAUGUUUCUACAUUAACUAUUUACUAAGAGAUAUCAAAUGCAUUCCACAGAGUAGAGUCACUUCUAACUAAUCCUCUUGUUUAUCUCGUGAAGUCCUGCAUUAAAUGAAGUGCUACAGGUAUUACGGAGGAGGCUCAUCGAACCCAGAUGGAUCCAGUCAACACGAGGAGUUGCUCUCCUGGCGAGCACACUGCGGGGGUCAGGUGCCCAGCGCCCGGUAGACCAGGGGGGCUGCUACCCGAACGGGUCAUUAGUGUUGUCUUUGCCACUCUCAGUAGCAGUUAACGUGUUAUUUGGAGUGUAUUCUCAUGUGGUAAAUACUCAUAGUAGUAAUAUUACCAAAAGGGGUUUGGUUUGUAUGUAUGACCUGAAUUCACACAGAAAUAGAGGUCUCAACUAUGGUCCUAGAAUUCAUUUGGCAAGCUCUUAAAAGAGACAGAUGCCCAGGCCCCCUCCAGACCAAUUGAAACAGAAUUCCUAAGUGGCGUAGGGGAGAGGGUAGCAGGCACUGGUAUUUUACAAAUUUUCCAGAUGAUUUUAUCAUGCAUCCAAGGUUGAAAACGUCUGUUUUAGCAGAACUUUAGGAAGCCCCAGCUGACCUGCCACAUGCCCUGUUGUCCCCAGACCCCUGUCUUAAACUUGCAGAAAACUUACGCGAACCCAGUCUGUGGUUUGGGUCACGCUCUCUAACUUAGGAUUCAAAACUUGGACUUCUUUUUGUUCUUUCUCUGUUGUGUUAAUCCUCCAAAGUCAGAAAGCAAUGUAUCAGAGAAAAUUAUUUGUAAUUUUUAAAAGGGCCACAUCAAUGCCCAGAUCUCAUGGGUUUGUCUCCAGAGGAAAAUGGCUGUGGCAUCUUUGAAGAGUCCAGUAGGAAUUUCGACAGAACGAAAAUGUCAUCGAGCAUGAGUGGAAUCAAAGCAAGUCCUCAGUGGAAUGCUCCUGUCGAAACAACACUGUAACAGUCAGUUUUCCAGAUGUAAACAGGACACACUGCAGCUAGCCUGAGCAGAAAAUUCGUUUGUUAAGGGAGAGCUUGCAGGUAGGAGGACUGCCCAGACCCCACCAUGGGGUUGCUUCUCUGAAGCCUUGCUGCUGCCAUCGCAGGGCCAGGGGUGCAGGCCACAGCGAGGACCUGAGGCUGGCCCCUGUUAGCACCUGUGCCCACCCCCACGGAUGCCUUUACCACCGGCUCUAAGCGAUGUCCAUUCUCAAGAGGCACCCUUGCAGCAACCACUCCUAAUCAAAAGUGACUGGAAACACCUGGUGUCCAUCCUCAGCAUGUCCACGUGAAUCCAGAACUCUGGCCUCGCUCCCUGAAGCGUGUGCACCUCAUCUCAUCUUUAAUAGUGGCGUGGAAGCAAGGCUUUGCUCUCUGGGGAAGACGUUCUUGUUAUCAGUGGUGUUGGUGGGGAGAGGGUUGUAAAUGGUGCGUAAAGAGGACGAGGAGAGCCUGCCUCUUAACUCUAUGCCAAAAUAAUCCACCCUAGAAGAGGCUCCUGUCACCGAACAGACUUUCCUUUACACGCAAGCUGCCCCUGCAGCCCAGAGCUGGACUUCACAAUUAAGCAAGUUUGCCCAGUGCUUGAAACAAUGUUAGAAAGAGCUACAUUAAAAUACUAAUAGAGGGGCCGGGCAGGUGGCGCAGUGGUUAAGAUUGCACGUUCCGCUUUGGCGGCCCUGGGGUUUGAGGCUUGGGAUCCUGGGUGCAGACCUACGCACCGCUUGGCAAGCCAUGCUGCGGUGGGUGUCCCACAAACAAAGUAGAGGAAGAUGGGCAUGGAUGUUCACUCAGGGCCAGUCUCCCUCUGCAAAAAAGAGGAGGAUUGGCGGCAGAUGUUAGCUCAGGGCUAAUCUUCCUCAAAAAAUUUUUUUAAAAAACUAAUAGAAAAGUAGAGCUCUGAGGAAAUGCUCAUAAAAGAAUGCUGAGAACGUACGAAAAAAGUAAAAAAAACAAUAGGUUUUAUGGAGAAGAUGUUACUCUAUCAGGGACAGGAGAAAAAAGGAAAUUGUUUUUAUUACAGAAUAACAGGAGGGGUUUUAUUUGGACAAAGGCACAGUCCCUCCCUCGCCCCCCACCCCAUGUUGCUCUCAGGACCCCCAGCGAGUCCCCUGGCCCGGAGGAGAGGCGAUCCCCCUCUAACACAGAUGGCCUCCAGGAGGACUUGCCUAGAGGCCACAGAAUGACCCACAUAAACUCUUCAAGUCUCUCGCAGGUUUUGAUGCUGUGAAAAAGCUUUUGCCUAGGACUCCCGUGGAAACCACCUUAGUGUCUUCAAGCCACUGGGGAAGCUGUACAGCGAAUGAAGCCUAUGGGUAGUUAGUGGAGAAGCAAGUAGACACACAUCUGAGACUCUGCCUGCUCAACGAUCCGCCUCACACUCUCCACUCAUCUGGUCUCCUGGCCUCUGCCCCAGGUGGCCCUUUGCUUCUUGAAAAGAAGCACAAAGUCUGAAACACAGACUUCAAAGACGAAGGGAAUUCUAUUUUAACAUUUUCAUUUCAUUAAACUGGGACCAAUCAUGAAAGGUCAUCAGUAAAGACCAAACAAGAUAAGCAUUGAUCUGGGCGUCUUGCAGAAGGGCUGAGGGAGGGGUGGCCUCAGAGAAAGGAAAACACAAUUAAAUGUGCACUGGCUGCUGAAGGUGCAUAUUCUAUGCUGUUUGCACCCGGAGGGAGCAGCUUUCUAUUGCAAGCAUUUGGUUGGUGUCGGUCCGUUUCACUGGGAAGAAAAACGCAUGUGGGAACACUUACUGUAUAAUCAGGCUACGGGAAGAUGUUACCAUUCUUGCUUCCAAGAUCCAUUCUGUCCUUUGCUGUCAGGAGCCUGUCUUAGAUGUCAAAGAACAGUCAAAGUGUAACAACAGGGGGCCCAAGCAGUCAUUUCAAAUUAUUGAGAAAUAAAUGAAUGGAGACAAAAAUAUCUUGAUAUUAACAUCUAGCAUUUAUUUAUCUACCAGGCACUGUAAAGACAUUAUCUCAAUUUUAUUUUCUAAAAUGCCUAUGAAGUACCUAUUAUUGAGGAAAAUGAGGAGCGAUAUUAGGAAAUUUGUUCAUAGUUAAAAAUCAGAUUUACCCAUGUCUUUCUACUUAGCUAUGCCAGUCGGCAGCUGUCGGGGUUCUGAAGGACACUCUCAGUGUCCUGACACAUCCUCUUGUCCUUACCACUUAGUGCACUUGCCCGACUUCUCAGUUGGCAGCUCUCUGCCUGAAGACUUUGUCUGGCUGACCUGGGAGCCCAUUCUGCUCCUGCAGCAGGAAAGAGGUCCAAGUCUCCACGCCCAGUGCUCCACUCACCGCAAAGCAGCUGUCAACCAAUGACUGAGAGGAGCUGGUAUCACGCUCCCUCAUUCUUCAGGUGGGACCACUCUGAGACGUGUACUCUACGCUGGCUCCGAGUUCCUCAGCAGGAAUGCGCUUCAGUCAUCCAGCACAGAGUUGCUGACAUGAAAUUCUCCACUGAAGCUCACCACUCAGGACAAGCUCUCUGGGUCACCUUCUGAGACACAAUAAACGACAGCGUCGCGUCGGCCUCGUGAGUGUGAGUUCCGUAAGGGCAAGGACGUCACCAGCUUAGUUUAGCUGACUGUGUUUCCAGGGCCCAACGUAUUUAUUCAAUGAAAGAGUAAAAGGAUUAUAUACCAUUUCAUACCCAGGAAUAACAAAGCCUAUUAAAAACAAAAAUGAAUACUGGAAAAAAAAAAGAGCAUUUCUCCAGGGAAAUGAAGAAACAGCGCAUGUCUCAGUACGUGAAUUAUAGGUCCCUCGACAGAAAGUGUGUCCGCUUGGCCCCGGGUGUAAAGAGGCCUGAGAAAGCCAGGACAAACGUCCAGUCUCAUAAUUUGAAAGUGUCUGGGCAGCUGCUUGCACCUCUUGUCUGACCCACAUUCUGCCUAUCUGCAUAUUCAGAAGAACCACACGUGACCCACGACAGUGGUGAGAGUAGUCUCCUCUCUCUGCUAGACCCAAGCCACCGGGAUUUACUGCCACGUGGACAUUGAGAAAGAAAGCACUGGCCAUAGUUCAUGAAAAAGAUGACUUAGUUUGGUCUGAGGUGUCUGUAAGAGGUUUGGGACUUCACAUUUUGCAAGUGACACCUGGUAAAGCAUUCAGUGAGGCCGACUGAGUACUGAGUUUGCGACUCCAUUCACUUGUGAAGUCCCAAUCGUCAGCCAUGCCUUGACGUGCAGAAGAAAACCAUUUUGAGUAAAUGAUUUCCGUUACUGAAAGCCUAUGGGUAUAAUUUUCUGAGUUUCUUCUAUGGAAGACAAAGAUGUAUGUCUAGUAUUUGAUAAAUAUCAAAUGCAUUUGACUUAAUUUUAACUUUGUUCUCAUGGGCUUCCUUUGAGACCAGUAAGAAAUGGUUGAAUUGAAAACCAAGGGAUGGAGUGAGGCACUUGGAGUACUCAGUACUGUGGUAUUCAGUGCUUUGGUACUCAGUAGUGGGGCACUCAGUGCUGGGUACUCAGUACUGUGGUACUUGGUGCUAGGGUACUCAAUAGUAGGGGAGUAUAGCUCAUGCUUUCCUGGAAUAAGGAACAGAAUUGGUGGUCAUCAGGAAAUUUGACCGCAAGUGUGGGUUUAUCAGUCCUAGAUAGAGUCUCAGAAUUGGGAAGGACCCUGACAGUUCUGGAGUCUAACCACUCAUUCUGUGCUUGCAUCCCCACUGUGACAUGUUGCCCAUCUGUCCUCACCUCCUCCAAGAUAUCCAUUCCACAGAGAUUGCAAACUGGCAGCGCACAGAAAUGUUUUGUUUGAUUUGCCUGGUGUUUAGAUGUUUUUUAAAUUUAGCUCGUAACACUUAAACAUUGAGAGAUUCCUCAUAGACUCUUAGAACUCUGGCUUCUCCUGAAAAUCAGUUAACGCCACUGGUGCUGCCUUCCUGUGGGCGUCAACAGGCUGGAGUGUGGGAGCCACUCCCGCAUUGAGACGAGCACUGUGCUCUCCAGCUCCCCAGCCUCCACCCAGCCUGCCUUGCACUCCUUCUGCUGCCUCUGUUUGCCUUGGACCCUGACUUCUGUCCUGGAAGCCCUGUUCACUGGCUUGACACCAUGAGAAACCAGCUCCAAGCAAUACGAAUGCCCAUGUUUAAUAAAAGGGAAAACUCACUUUUACCUCUUUAGUUAUAGUCUUCUUGCUGUGGUUCAUGUUUUCUUCACUCUUCUCAUUUGUGCCCCCACACUCUAUUGACACUCUCGUCCAUUUGAGUCAAAUAUUUUUUGGGCUCUCGCAGGGUCCACAUUUUUCAAUAGACCCCAUGUAGUUGGAACAGAAACAAGGAAAGUAUAUGGUCUCUACACAGAGGGAGUUAAUAGCUCAUUAAAUGGCAAAGUGGAAAAAUUGAUGAUUGAGGCAGAUCAGUGUGUGGGAGGC
ensembl:lncRNA